UACGAAGGGUGCAAGCGUUACUCGGAAUUACUGGGCGUAAAGCGUGCGUAGGUGGUUUGUUAAGUCUGUUGUGAAAGCCCUGGGCUCAACCUGGGAAUUGCAUUGGAUACUGGCAGGCUAGAGUGCGGUAGAGGAUGGGCGGAAUUCCCGGUGUAGCAGUGAAAUGCGUAGAGAUCGGGAGGAACAUCUGUGGCGAAGGCGGCCAUCUGGACCAGCACUGACACUGAGGCACGAAAGCGUGGGGAGCAAACAGG
rnacentral:rRNA from 1 species